rnacentral:lncRNA from 1 species
CUGCACUCCGAGGCUCAGGGAGCAAGUGUUUGGAGUGGGGGGGAAAGUUGGCUUUUUUUCCCCCUCCUUGGUCUUUAGCGCCCUUUUCUCUCCCUCAGAAGAGAAGAGCGACAUAAACUAUUUUAGACGCAAUCAAGGAAGAAUCGCCCAUCAUGUGGAAUUGAGCGGCAGUUUUAAAUGUACUAAGAGAAGACUGGUCUCGAAAAAAAAAAAAAAAAACAUUUUUUUCCCCUUCUUUUUUUGGAGACGCCUAAAGGAGCCUGUUUGUGUGCUGUGUGGCCACGUUCUGCUGUGACUGGAUCUUGUCUUCUGCCUGGCUCCUCGAUUUCCGUCCGGCUGGAUUUGGGGACAACACUGCCUGGCGCAGACAGAUCAAAUGACACUUCAAAGAAGCAUAAAAUGAACAGACUAUUCAAACAAAGGAUGGUGCUGGGGCAGAUGGAGUGAGAGUGACUUUCAAGCUCACUUAAAUAUGGGAGUUCUUAUAUGUCUGACAAACUCUUGAUGUCCUGAGUGCAAAAUAUCUAGGGAGAAAAGAGAGUAUAUGUCCCUCAUGAGAAUAUUUCUUCAGCAUCAAAAUUGAGUAACGUUUACUUCCUGGCAACAGAAUUUUAUGUCCCAGACAGUAAGUCCUUGGGAAGAUGUCAAUGAAUGCUAACACUAAUUGAUGUGAUCGACCCAUAUGCGCGCACACACAUUCACAUGGUGGUAUGCAAUGGUGGAGAAAUCACCUUUUGGCUCUAUUAAGAAAUCUGUCACUUUUAGGUCAGAGUAAAAUUUUGGAGGGUGCCAUCUUCCAGUGGAAAGCUAUCUUGACCAUGGUGGUAUGCGAGAGUUGUUUGUUGUUUGCCUUGUUCAUGAUGCUUAGUCAAGGAGACACUUCCUUUCAGAUUCUGUCUUCCAAACCCCAGGGCUCUGUUCUGGGCAGUUCAGCCUAAUGGAAUUAAGCCUGACAUGUUUCAACUCUAUUUCUUUAUAAAAUAAACAUAAAACAAUGGCUUAGAUUUCUAAUAAAACUCUUGAAGCACGA